AACGCACCUUGCGCUCCUUGGUAUUCCUUGGAGCAUGCCUGUUUGAGUAUCAUGAAAUUCUCAAAGUCAAUCCUUUUUGUUAAUUCAAUUGGUUUGCUUUGGACUUGGAGGUCUUUGCAGAUGUCGCAGUCUGCUCCUCUUAAAUUUAUUAGCUGGAUCUCAGUAUACACUUGGUUCCACUCAGCGUGAUAAGUAUCAUUCGCUGAGGACACUGUAAAAGGUGGCCAGGAAAUACAGAUGAACCGCUUCUAAUAGUCCAUUUACUUGGACAAUUUACUUUAUGAUCUGAUCUCAAAUCAGGUAGGACUACCCGCUGAACUUAA
rnacentral:misc_RNA from 1 species